GGCAAAUUAGCAAGAAAGAGAGUUUUGAGCCGAGGCAUAGAGGUCCGAAAAAUUGUUGACUCAGAUGAUUUAUUAUUUUACAAGUUUCAGGUACCGAGGAUGAACUUGGAUUCAUAGUUGCAGGCUUAGAUGGAAGAGUUGGAAUUGAGGAAUUAAAUUAUUUUAUUUAGAGAUUUUUUUGUAUUUAUUUGAGGAAAUUCAUUUAGUAUCAAUUUAAUUAAUUUGAGAUGUUGUCUUAUUUAUUUGAGGAAAUUUGAUUGAUUUAGUAUCAAUAAAGGAUAUUUCUUUUGA